rnacentral:rRNA from 1 species
CAGGGAAUCUUCGGCAAUGGACGGAAGUCUGACCGAGCAACGCCGCGUGAGUGAAGAAGGUUUUCGGAUCGUAAAGCUCUGUUGUAAGAGAAGAACGAGUGUGAGAGUGGAAAGUUCACACUGUGACGGUAUCUUACCAGAAAGGGACGGCUAACUACGUGCCAGCAGCCGCGGUAAUACGUAGGUCCCGAGCGUUGUCCGGAUUUAUUGGGCGUAAAGCGAGCGCAGGCGGUUAGAUAAGUCUGAAGUUAAAGGCUGUGGCUUAACCAUAGUACGCUUUGGAAACUGUUUAACUUGAGUGCAAGAGGGGAGAGUGGAAUUCCAUGUGUAGCGGUGAAAUGCGUAGAUAUAUGGAGGAACACCGGUGGCGAAAGCGGCUCUCUGGCUUGUAACUGACGCUGAGGCUCGAAAGCGUGGGGAGCAAACAGGAUUAGAUACCCUGGUAGUCCACGCCGUAACGAUGAGUGCUAGGUGUUAGACCCUUUCCGGGGUUUAGUGCCGCAGCUAACGCAUUAAGCACUCCGCCUGGGGAGUACGACCGCAAGGUUG